UUUGGUAAAAUCAAUGUAGGACCUAUACUUUAGAAAUGGAACCCACAUAAAGCGGUGACACAUACAUUGAUUUUACUUAA
rnacentral:pre_miRNA from 1 species